GCUGAGUGCAGUGGUGCACACUUGUAAUUUCAGGUACUUGGAGGCUGAGGCAGGAAGAUCACAAGUUUGAGGCCAGCCUCAA
rnacentral:sRNA from 1 species